rnacentral:rRNA from 1 species
GACGAACCGAGCGAACGUUGUUCGGAAUCACUGGGCUUAAAGGGCGCGUAGGCGGGCUGUCAAGUCUGGGGUGAAAUCCCGCGGCUCAACCGUGGAACUGCCUCAGAUACUGACGGCCUCGAGGGAGAUAGGGGCGAGCGGAACUAAUGGUGGAGCGGUGAAAUGCGUUGAUAUCAUUAGGAACUCCGGUGGCGAAGGCGGCUCGCUGGAUCUUUUCUGACGCUGAGGCGCGAAGGCUAGGGGAGCAAACGGG